rnacentral:rRNA from 1 species
UACGUAGGGGGCAAGCGUUGUCCGGAAUCAUUGGGCGUAAAGAGCGUGUAGGCGGCCCGAUAAGUCCGCUGUGAAAGUCCAGGGCUCAACCCUGGGAUGCCGGUGGAUACUGUCGGGCUCGAGUCCGGAAGAGGAGUGUGGAAUUCCUGGUGUAGCGGUGAAAUGCGCAGAUAUCAGGAGGAACACCAAUGGCGAAGGCAGAUCUCUGGGCCGUAACUGACGCUGAGGAGCGAAAGCAUGGGGAGCGAACAGG